rnacentral:rRNA from 1 species
AUUGAACGCUGGCGGCAUGCUUUACACAUGCAAGUCGAACGGUAACAGGUUAAGCUGACGAGUGGCGAACGGGUGAGUAAUGCAUCGGAACGUGCCCGAUCGUGGGGGAUAACGCAGCGAAAGCUGCGCUAAUACCGCAUACGAUCCGAGGAUGAAAGCGGGGGACCGUAAGGCCUCGCGCGAACGGAGCGGCCGAUGUCAGAUUAGGUAGUUGGUGGGGUAAAGGCCCACCAAGCCGACGAUCUGUAGCUGGUCUGAGAGGACGACCAGCCACACUGGGACUGAGACACGGCCCAGACUCCUACGGGAGGCAGCAGUGGGGAAUUUUGGACAAUGGGCGAAAGCCUGAUCCAGCAAUGCCGCGUGCAGGAAGAAGGCCUUCGGGUUGUAAACUGCUUUUGAACGGAGCGAAAAGGUCCUUUCUAAUACAAGGGGCUCAUGACGGUACCGUAAGAAUAGGCACCGGCUAACUACGUGCCAGCCGCCGCUGUAA